rnacentral:rRNA from 1 species
UACGUAGGGGGCAAGCGUUGUCCGGAUUUACUGGGCGUAAAGAGCGUGUAGGCGGCCAAGCAGGUCCGUUGUGAAAACUGGAGGCUUAACCUCCAGACGUCGACGGAAACCGCGUGGCUAGAGUCCGGAAGAGGAGAGUGGAAUUCCUGGUGUAGCGGUGAAAUGCGUAGAUAUCAGGAGGAACACCGGUGGCGAAGGCGGCUAUCUGGACAGAAACUGACGCUGAGGCGCGAAAGCUAGGGGAGCAAACAGG